rnacentral:rRNA from 1 species
AGAGUUUGAUCCUGGCUCAGAACGAACGCUGGCGGCGUGCUUAACACAUGCAAGUCGAACGCGAAAGGGACUUCGGUCCUGAGUAGAGUGGCGCACGGGUGAGUAACGCGUAGAUAAUCUGUCCUUGUGUCUGGAAUAAUACGUCGAAAGGUGUACUAAUACCGGAUAUUCUUGCUUUUCAUACGAUAGGUAAGCAAAGGUGGCCUCUGUCAUAAGCUACUGCAUAAGGAGGAGUCUGCGUACCAUUAGCUAGUAGGUGGGGUAAUGGCCCACCUAGGCUUCGAUGGUUAACGGGUCUGAGAGGAUGAUCCGUCACAUUGGCACUGGAACACGGGCCAGACUCCUACGGGAGGCAGCAGUGAGGAAUAUUGCGCAAUGGGGGCAACCCUGACGCAGCGACGCCGCGUGAGUGAGGAAGGCCUUCGGGUCGUAAAGCUCUGUCAAAGGGAAAGAAGUGCAUGGUGGUUAAUACCCAUCAUGUUUGACGGUACCCUUAAAGGAAGCACCGGCUAACUCCGUGCCAGCAGCCGCGGUAAUACGGAGGGUGCAAGCGUUGUUCGGAAUCACUGGGCGUAAAGGGCGCGCAGGCGGUUUGAUAAGUCAGAUGUGAAAGCCCACGGCUUAACUGUGGAAGUGCAUUUGAAACUGUCAGACUUGAGUACCAGAGGGGAAAGUGGAAUUCCCGGUGUAGAGGUGAAAUUCGUAGAUAUCGGGAGGAAUACCGGUGGCGAAGGCGACUUUCUGGCUGGAUACUGACGCUGAGGCG